AAGCUUUUGAAGAUGCAUAUACUUACAAUCAUGUUCUUACAUACUUUUGGUUGUUGUGCUUGCAAGAAGGACAUACAAAAUUGGAGGUUGUGAUUUGAGCAGCACUGCUCCUCCUUGUACCAGGUGGAUUGAAAUGAUGGCUCCUGGAUUAGUAAUAUGUAAUUCAAGGAUGGUAGCUUGCUUAGAAUCUUCGUUAGCUUGGGUAAAAACUAGUGGUCUCUUUUGUAACUUCUUAUUGAUUCUAAAAUUUUUUCUCUUAUGUAAUAAUAUGUAAAGGAAGUAGAUAAUGUAAUAGUUGUUGUAAUGAUUUUGAUUUUUGGUAUUUUGUUAGAGCAUGUCAUGUGAUCAAUCACACUAUAUUUGGUGAC